UCCUUUUCUUUUAGCCCACUCCCAGGUCUCUUCCGUUCAUAUUCUAAUCACGCAUGGUGAGCGGCGGUUUCGACAGUGACUGGCUGGCUGCUGCUGGCUUGUACGUGUGGAAGGCAGUUGUUCACGGCAGACCAGUGAGCGGCGGCGGGUGGGCGCGACCACAUGGUGGUUGGAAGGUAGGCUUCGCGGCGUUCAGCCUCGGCCACCAUCGUACCACGAUCUCGGCCCACCCGGAAAGUUGGAUGAAGAGGUGGUGGACGGUGAGGACCAAUCAUUAUAGCUGCUACUCCAUUACAUCCGCUCCUCGAAAAGCUCCCUGAGCCCGACCAACAAUGGGAUCUUCCUCUGAGGUUCACGCUACUCCUUGUCCAGACUGAUCCCGGAGAGGAGAACAAGCCUCCGAGCACGUGCUCGUCAACUCCAUGCCGGCCGCUCCAAGCGCCCCUGCUUCGUGUCUUCAAGGCAGGCGCCGAGAUAGCCUUUGCAGCGAGCUGUGGUGUGUGGACUCUGCGGCGAGAUGGGAUUCAGAAUCCUUUUCCGUGAUAGCACAUCCAAGGAAGGAAGGAGAUUGAGGUUGGCACCUCCUGAAGGCAUGCAUGCUCUUCACCGAGAGAGGGAAGGGCAUCUUUUUCUUGGGUUGCAGUUUCCACCUUGUUGUUGGGUGAGAGCUCUUGUGGAUAAUCAGACAUGGGGUGCAUGGCAAAAUUAGGACAGACUGAAGGCAGCAAAUUCCGCGUUGGCCGUGCACUUUGAGGAGAAGACAUUGUCUUUGUAUAAGUGCCCCUACAAUCAUCUCUUUACAGCAGAGACAAGGCCUUCAGAUAGAUAUGGCCGCA